rnacentral:rRNA from 1 species
UACGAAGGGGGCUAGCGUUGCUCGGAAUCACUGGGCGUAAAGCGCACGUAGGCGGAUUGCUAAGUCAGGGGUGAAAUCCUGGAGCUCAACUCCAGAACUGCCUUUGAUACUGGCGACCUUGAGUCCGGGAGAGGUGAGUGGAACUGCGAGUGUAGAGGUGAAAUUCGUAGAUAUUCGCAAGAACACCAGUGGCGAAGGCGGCUCACUGGCCCGGUACUGACGCUGGAGGUGACGAAAGCGGUGGGGAGC